UCACCACGACCUACUCUCCUCCUCCUCUGCUACCCACUCCACCCGACGAUCCUCCACUCGGCCGCCCCCUGUAGAUCCUCCGCUUGGCCGCCCGCCGUAGAUCCUUCGCUCGGCCGCCCCCAGCCGAUCAUCCUCUGCUGCCCCGCCGACUGCCGCCGCCGAUGAGCCCAUCUGAUGGCGGUGCCGACCCAUCUUCUGGUGCUGGAUGCGGCAACCAGGGCGAAGGAGAAGAAAUUAAUGUAGACUACCACCAUCGCCAGGUUGCAGGUGAACAACCGACCGUUGUGGUGGCCUUCAGGUUGGCCACGGAGAAGUCCUGGAGCGACGGCGUGUCCAAGAGGAUGCAGCUCGCCAGCCCGCUGCCCGCUGCCCGCCGCUCCUCCCCUGCCUUCUCCUUCUCUCCCUUUUCUUCUCCUUCCUUCUUUCCUUUCUCCAUGUUUUUUCACCUCCGGCUCCCUCUCUGUCGACUGUCUCUAUGCAGCUCCGCCUCUAUGGAGAUCGCCGCCCCGCGUGUGCCGUCACCUGUAAGACUCCGUUCGAGGUUCGACGCCCGUCGUCCUCGCCUCCCAUGUCUCCUGCCGCUUGCCCCACAUCGUGGUGCAUCAUGGAUGCCAUCCAGAUCGAGCAGGGGCACGAGAGGUGCCGCGCUCCCCUCCUUGAACGGCUGCUUUGCUGUCGUCGUCUCACCCAUCGCGGACUAGCAGAGUGGUCCACUUCCGGCACCGCAAUCCCAGCCGUCACCUGCGCCUCCCUCCGUCGCUGAUCCGCGGCCCGGCCCCGCCUCUGCCGUGCGUCGGCGGGAUACGCUGCCCAGAUGGAGAAUAAUUAUCCAUCUAGAUAUCUGUUGUAUGCUAGAGAGCGACCCCGUUUAAAGGUCUAACAAACACAACGAUUGAGGGGAAUGGAGCUUCCCAUCUCCAACAAAAAAAUGCCACUGGUCAGGUGUGGUAUGCCCAAAUGUCAGACGAGAAGAAAGCAGAAUUGAAGCAUCAUUUAGCCCCCAGGAAAAGAAGGUUGCAGCUCUGGAAAGUGUUGCCACGGACCAAGUAGCAAACACGCCUGCUUCUGCGUCAAGGUCUAUGCAAUGUACUCAUCUGAGUGACAAAACAUACAGACGUAUAAAUGCCUGUGUAACUACAGAUCCGUGACUGCUGAUCUUCAACUUGAUAAAAAAUUAGUCGAACAAAGAAAACAAACAUGUCAAGGUUGGUAUGCUGAGCUAUCAAAUGAGAAAGCAGAAUACCUAAAGAAGUAACGAACGGCUCGGCUACAAAAGAAAGAUGCAGCCGUUGAUGUGAAUGUCGAAGUACCUCAAUUAUCUGACCCACAUGUUUCACUGGGGGAUAUGUUCCGGUCUGACAUGGCGCUCGGCGAUAUUCCGCCGCUCUAUCAUGAUGACUGUGGAUUGCGGAGUCGAACAUGUCAUUCCCGAUCCACCUUCGAUGAGUCGCCAGACAAGAAGUCACAAAGUUGCUGAACUAUGACAUGUACUAUUUUAGAGAUGUUCAAGAUUCGGCUUUGGGGUUAGGCUUGUUUUCUCAAUGGUUUGAUCAGAGUAGCUGCUGUUGGGAAAACCUAUUUGCUUGAUGAGGACAAUAAGAUUACAUCAGGCACUUGGGCAUCAUUCACCCUAAAGUAAUGUGUUCGGUU